GAAAAGAAACAACCGGGAUUGCCUUAGUAACGGCGAGGGAAGCGGCAAGAGCUCAAAUUUGAAAGCUGCCAACAGGCCGCGUUGUAAUUUGCAGAAGAUGCUUUGGGUGCCGGCCUUGUUUAAGUUCCUUGGAACAGGACGUCAUAGAGGGUGAGAAUCCCGUACGUGAUUAGGCCUAACCCCGUGUAAAGCUCUUUCGACGAGUCGAGUUGUUUGGGAAUGCAGCUCAAAAUGGGUGGUAAAUUUCAUCUAAAGCUAAAUAUUGGCCAGAGACCGAUAGCGCACAAGUAGAGUGAUCGAAAGAUGAAAAGCACUUUGGAAAGAGAGUUAAACAGUACGUGAAAUUGUUAAAAGGGAAGCGUUUAUAACCAGACUUGCGGGCUAUCGAUCAUCCGAGGUUUUCCCCGGUGCACUCGAUUGUUCUCAGGCCAGCAUCGGUUCUAGUGGUGGGAUAAAGGCCGUGGGAAUGUGGCUCUUCGGAGUGUUAUAGCCCACGGUGCAAUGCCGCCUACCGGGACCGAGGACCGCGCUUCGGCUAGGAUGCUGGCGUAAUGGUUGUAAACGACCCGUCUUGAAACACGGACCAAGGAGUCUAACAUCUAUGCGAGUGUUUGGGUGUUAAACCCAUACGCGUAAUGAAAGUGAACGGAGGUGAGAGUCCUUUAGGAUACAUCAUCGACCGAUCCUGAUGUCUUCGGAUGGAUUUGAGUAAGAGCAUAACUGUUGGGACCCGAAAGAUGGUGAACUAUGCGUGAAUAGGGGUGAAGCCAAGAGGAAAC
rnacentral:rRNA from 1 species